AAGCUUUAUGCAUUUAUUAAAAUAUACAGAUUUUGGUAAAUUUAGAUUUUUUUUCAUAGUAUCUUGACUAUAUAUAUAUAAUAUGUAUAAUUGCCAACAACACAAUCAUUUCAAAAGAAAACUCACUCCAUAACAUAUCUGUAUAUUUUUUUCUUUCUCAUGACACACUACAAGAUCCCAUUGUACAAUGCACCAAUGGGCUUUUGGAAACCACAAAAAAAAUUUUAAUAGAACAAACUGUUUUUAACAAAUACACCAAUUUCAUACCAGAACUGCUGAGAAUUGUUACACCAGGAAGUACCACCUGCAAAAAAAGCAAGAUAUACAUCAUAAAGACUGAACAAAACAAGGUGAAGGUCAUUUACAAGCUGGAUUUACAACAUCCCAUGUCAUUCGGAGUGUGAUUUCUCUGCUAUGUGGAGGAUACCGGUGUGCUGGGCCUUGCACUGAGUGGUCAUAAUGGUGUAGAGUGAAUCUGUGGAGGGGUGAGAUCUUAUAGAGUUGGUCUGGAAGAGCUGAGGUAUUUAUGCUCCGUCGGUAUCAUGUAUUGGGCUCCUCAGUGCAUGUGCCCUGCGGAGGGCUGUCAGGCAUGGAGGGGCUGUGUGCCUCUUACCGGUGGUGGGAGCAGCAUGGUACCACUCUGCCUGUGUCCUCCUGGUGGGUCAGAGGUGUGGGAACCUCUCUGAGGGCACCCAGGAGGAAGGCUAGAUUUUGGGGUUACAUCAAAACAUGCACUCACACCUCCUCCCAGUGUCUGAAACUGCUCCUGGUGCCAGCGGUGCCCAGAGGUGAUGGAAACGCCUGAAAGUGUUGGACUUCGCAGCUUUUGCUUGUGCCCGUUGAAGACCCUAAUGCCUGCUACAGGAGAAAGAGCGCGAGCUCCCUAAUGGAGGCUGAACCUGCAUGUCCCCCAGGCACUGCCACCCAGAGCAGGGUGCAGGGACCCCACUGCAAACCGGCCUCCCUGGGCACUGGCCGCUCAGCCGCCUGCAAGCCCCAGUUAGACCCAGCCUGCGGCUCAGCCACCUUCUCCCUAUGCACCUCUGUUAGGUGAGAUGUGGUGGGCUCGGGAGGAGGGUACAGCUCUCACCCUUGACAUGGCAAGGACUGCUGGCAGCCCAGCCACAUCAGACAGCGCCAUGGCAUCAAACGCUCUUUUCCAGCAGUCCCGGGAAUAAGGUGCAGAUAUUUUGCCCCAGCACUUCCCUGGGAAGGGGAAGGAGAAUGUGUGAAUGGGAACAGGAGUAGCUGAAGGGCUUCACUCAAUACAUGGAUCCAAUGAAGAGGUUCUUAUAGACACCAAAGAGCAACGGAUCAAGCCCUCAUCGAAUUAUACAGAGUAACUAGAGAGGACAUGAUAACAGACACUGGUACUGGUAACUGCUCUGUAGCAAGAGAUUAAGGCUGCAAAAGGAAUAACAGACUUUGAUUCGACAGGGUACUUGGGCACGAGUUUGUGGUUCAGCAGAUGCCUAAAUACCAUGUGGAAGCAGGACAAAGACAACUACCUCAGAUACAGUAUAGUAUAACAGCUGGUAGGAAAAUAGCAUCAAUCUUUCUCCCUGAAAAUGUAAAGCCAGACCUGCGAGGUGCCAUCUCUCUUGGAUACUUCUAAGGCAUUGAGGACAAGAGCAGUCAAGCACAAGUGAGAGGUGACCUUUGUGAGAGGUGCUCAGCACUGCUGGAAAGGUUUCGCAGGCUGGUCCGUGAGUGGUACACACAUUGCAAACAGCUUUUCAGUGAAACACAUGAUUUCUGACUGUAGAACUGUGGUAGGGGUGGACAAUGGGAGGAGAUGCCAGAGCAAAGCUUACAAGUCCUUUUGCC
ensembl:lncRNA